rnacentral:rRNA from 1 species
GCCGCCCUCUGGCGGCGUGCUUAACACAUGCAAGUCGAACGGAAAGGCCCUGCUUUUGUGGGGUGCUCGAGUGGCGAACGGGUGAGUAACACGUGAGUAACCUGCCCUUGACUUUGGGAUAACUUCAGGAAACUGGGGCUAAUACCGGAUAGGAGCUCCUGCUGCAUGGUGGGGGUUGGAAAGUUUCGGCGGUUGGGGAUGGACUCGCGGCUUAUCAGCUUGUUGGUGGGGUAGUGGCUUACCAAGGCUUUGACGGGUAGCCGGCCUGAGAGGGUGACCGGCCACAUUGGGACUGAGAUACGGCCCAGACUCCUACGGGAGGCAGCAGUGGGGAAUAUUGCACAAUGGGCGGAAGCCUGAUGCAGCAACGCCGCGUGCGGGAUGACGGCCUUCGGGUUGUAAACCUCUUUCGCCUGUGACGAAGCGUGAGUGACGGUAAUGGGUAAAGAAGCACCGGCUAAGUACGUG